UACGUAGGGUGCAAGCGUUGUCCGGAAUUAUUGGGCGUAAAGAGCUCGUAGGCGGUCUGUCGCGUCUGCUGUGAAACUCAGGGCUUAACCCUGAGCUUGCAGUGGGUACGGGCAGACUAGAGUGCGGUAGGGGAGACUGGAAUUCCUGGUGUAGCGGUGAAAUGCGCAGAUAUCAGGAGGAACACCGGUGGCGAAGGCGGGUCUCUGGGCCGUAACUGACGCUGGAG
rnacentral:rRNA from 1 species